GUUUUUUGGAAUGUUUAUUAAAGAUUUAAUCUGCCCAAUGAUUUUUUAAUGGCUGCGGUAAUUUGACCGUACGAAGGUAGCAUAAUAAUUAGUCUUUUAAUUGGAGUCUGGAAUGAAUGAUUGGAUGAGAAAUUUACUUUCUUUGUAUUUAUUUAUUAAAAAUUGAUUUUUGGGUGAAAAAGCUCAAGUUUUUUUUUGGGACGAUAAGACCCUAUAGAGCUUUAUUUAUAUUUUUGUUUAUUAAUUUUUAGAAUUUGUUAAUUUAUUUGUGUUUGUAUAAUUUUGGUUGGGGUGACCAUUUAAUUUUAAUUAUCUUAUAUUUUUUUAUUCAUUUAUUAUUGUUUUUUUUGAUCCUUUUUUAUUGAUUAUAAGAUAAAGUUACCUUAGGGAUAACAGCGUAAUUUAUUCUAAGAGUUCUUAUCGAUGAUUAAGUUUGCGACCUCGAUGUUGGAUUAAGAUUAGAAGAGGGUGAAGGUUUUCUUUAUUCUAGGUCUGUUCGACCUUUAAAUUCUUACA
rnacentral:rRNA from 1 species